ensembl:lncRNA
AGCACAUGAUUUACACUGUGACAUGGAGAUCACAGGACCUCACACCUCCGGCGGUGGAGAGGAUCCGAGGACCCAUUCUCAAGGGCUUAGCGUUGUGCCUGGACCAGAGGAAGCAGUCAAUCCAUAUAAUGAUACUGAGGAAUGGAAAAAGACUUGCCAAAAGUCACCAAAGUAAAUUUCAGAGCUGGAAUUUGAAUUCAAGUUUUCUUGGUUCCAGUUCCUGUGGCAUAUGCGUCUCUGUUGGAAGGAGAAUUGCUACGUGUCCUACAUUCUCCUACUGCCAUCAUCCACCAAGGCGUGGCCGGGUGCAUGCUGACCCUCUGCAUUCAGCAGGCUGGGAAGCAGUAGAGCAUCUUCAGACUGGCGAUUACUGUAAUUAUGCUGAGAAACAGAGGGCUGGCUGAGAUUAGAACUGGGAAUCAACUUGUCAAGUUUCCUGAAAAUCCCUACUGUGAUCUUGUGCACAACUGAGUCAAACAUUUGGAGAAAUUUGAUCAUAACAACCAUGCCAUCUUUCAAUUAUUUAGACUUUUUUGACUCUUUUUCAAUAAAGUUUUAUAAAUAUCCACACAAAUAUCUUACAUUUUUGGAUUACAAGGAAAUCGUUGAAGACAACUCACGCUUCUAUCGACUCUAGGAACACUGGGAACGACGUUCUACACAAUAUUGCCCAUGUCCUCUAAGAUCCAUGUGACUGUUUCUCCAGAUUUCAGCAACAGAGAAAGAAAAGAAGCAAUCAUCAACUCACUUGGAAAUACUUGAUAAGGCUUACUGUGUGACAAUGGAGUGAAUGCUGCUAUGUCCAAGCUGUCAACACAUUUUACUGUGACAUUGGUGAAUGUUUUAGGCAAGAAGCUGUCUCAGUGAAUUUAAUGGGAAAGAAAUCACUUGGCAAAUGUCUCCAUUGCCCGUAAUUCACUGCCCCACCCCUCUAGUCCUACGGUAGGAUAGUCUGACAUACAUUUUGUAUCUUUCCAAAAAUGAUGUCCUGCAUUUGGGGCUUAUUUGUAGCUGCAGACAGGUGGGAAUAAGAGACUCUUUUGUCUCCUUGUCUAGCCCAUUACUAUGGAAAGCUGUCCAGAAUUAAAUUCCGUUCUCUCCUGUCAGGUUGCAUUACAGAGCUCGGUGUCCAGAAAGAGAGACUAGUGUGACAGCAUGGACUGGAGGUGGUGGAAGAUAAAUCAAGCUCAGUUUAUCCCUCUUAUUCCUAAGGAAAAACACAUCCCUCAUGGAGGCAGACAACUGUCUCACGUUGCUCUGGUGUUUACAGAAAGACAGAGCAGACUGUGGUGUGGGAGGGGGUGUAGAUAUGUGGUGUCGCCUUAAGGAUUCUGAAUGUCUAGAUCAUUUCUUUUUGGGCACAAUUUGGAAAUUUAUUUGGGAAUCCUGCGGUAUAGCCCACAUGAUUUGGGUGUUUCUUGGGGAUGAUGUGAAUAUUGGAUUCUCUAUUUAGAAAUUGUGUCUUGAUUAAGCCCUUUUCACUCUUUGAAUAUUUUUGAUUUUUAUUUCAAAAUAACCCAGUCCUUCUACUUAUGAGACACACCUAGGGCACCAUGACUAAUGCUUUAUUGUGGCUUUCUUACCUCAGCCUCUUCUUUCCCCUCCACUGCAGACAACCAGUUGGAAGCGUCUGUCAUACCUGCUUCCACUCUUUUUUUUAUCAUGCUCAGAUACGUGCAUAUACAGUUCUUGUUUGCAUUGCUGUGUGUAAAAUUCUUCCGUAUUAUAUACAUUUAUCUGCACCUUGAUUUUGUCACUUAAAAUAUAUUAUGGAGAUAUUUCCAGCUAACUGGUAUAGUUAUAAACCAUCUAUGGGAUGAAGAUAUCUUAAUUUAUUAGAGUAUUGCCCUUUGGUAGCUUUCAAUUUAUUUCUAUGUCUUUUGUUCUUUUCUGUUUUGUUUUGCCCCUGAAAGACCUGAUUGUGAUAAUCUUCCUUAUUCCUGAGUGUACCAGCAUUUUAAUUUUAGGAGAUAGAUUUACAAGAAUGGGAUUACUGGAUUAAAAUGUGUAUUUUAGUUGAUAUUACUAGAUUUCUUUUCCCAAAAGCUAUAACUAAUCUUAUUUUCACUGGCCUUAUUUGACGGUAUAAUUUCCCCUGUAUUCUGUUAGCAAUAGGUGUUAGCAUUUUUGUAUUUUACCAGUCUCAAUGGUACAUGACAUCCCAUAAUGACAUUAAUUUUCCCUUUACUGGUUAUCUGAAUCUGAACUCGUUCCCAACCCAUGAAUCACCUCAUCAGUGUUGCUGCCUGUGUUCCACUGUCUUUUGUUCCUACACAUUAUAAGGCCUUUUUGUAUAUCACAGAUACAACUCCAUCUGUUUUAUAGGUUUAAAUAUUUUUCCAGUGAUCACUCUUCUAAUAUUUUUCGUUAAUCAUGUCUGUUGCCAUAGGAAAAAUUUCCAUUUUUUUUUUUAAAGAUUUUAUUUUUUGCCUUUUUCUCCCCAAAGCCCCCAGGUACAUAGUUGUAUAUUCUUUGUUGUGGGUCCUCCUAGUUGUGGCAUGUGGG